UUCCAGCUCCAAUAGCGUAUAUUAAAGUUGUUGCAGUUAAAAAGCUCGUAGUUGAAUUUCGGGAUCAAUUUACUGGUCGUGCUAUCGUACGUACUGGUUUUAUUGAUUCCUACCUUCUGACGAACCAUGAUGUCAUUAAUUUGGUGUCAUGGGGAAUCAGGACUGUUACUUUGAAAAAAUUAGAGUGUUUAAAGCAGGCUCACGCUUGAAUACAUUAGCAUGGAAUAACGAAAUAGGACGUUUGAUUCUAUUUUGUUGGUUUCUAGGAUCGACGUAAUGAUUAAUAGGGAUAGUUGGGGGCAUUAGUAUUCAAUUGUCAGAGGUGAAAUUCUUGGAUUUAUUGAAGACUAACUACUGCGAAAGCAUUUGCCAAGGAUGUUUUCAUUAAUCAAGAACGAAAGUUAGGGGAUCGAAGACGAUCAGAUACCGUCGUAGUCUUAACCAUAAACUAUGCCGACUAGGGAUCGGAUGAUGUUAAUUUUUUAAUGACUCAUUCGGCGCCUUAGGGGAA
rnacentral:rRNA from 1 species